UACGGGGGGUGCGAGCGUUGUCCGGAAUCACUGGGCGUAAAGGGCGCGUAGGUGGUUUGAUAAGGGUGUGGUGAAAGCCCGGGGCUCAACCCCGGGUCUGCCGUGCCGACUGUCAAACUCGAGGGCUGUAGAGGCAGACGGAAUUCCGGGUGUAGCGGUGGAAUGCGUAGAGAUCCGGAGGAACACCGGUGGCGAAGGCGGUUCUCUGGGCCUUACCUGACGCUGAGGAGCGAAAGCGUGGGGAGCAAACAGG
rnacentral:rRNA from 1 species